AUGGCCUUUAAGUUGGUCCUGUGAGGCUGGCAAGGGGACGGUAGUAGGGAAUUUUCGCCUUCUUGCGCGCUUUUCGUGCCAAGAAGGCUUUUAU
rnacentral:misc_RNA from 1 species